rnacentral:rRNA from 1 species
AGCGAACGCUGGCGGCAGGCCUAACACAUGCAAGUCGAACGAACUCUUCGGAGUUUGUGGCGGACGGGUGAGUAACACGUGGGAACGUGCCUUUAGGUUCGGAAUAACUCAGGGAAACUUGUGCUAAUACCGAAUGUGCCCUUCGGGGGAAAGAUUUAUCGCCUUUAGAGCGGCCCGCGUCUGAUUAGCUAGUUGGUGAGGUAAAGGCUCACCAAGGCGACGAUCAGUAGCUGGUCUGAGAGGAUGAUCAGCCACAUUGGGACUGAGACACGGCCCAAACUCCUACGGGAGGCAGCAGUGGGGAAUCUUGCGCAAUGGGCGAAAGCCUGACGCAUCCAUGCCGCGUAAAUGAUGAAGAUCUUAGGAUAGUAAAAUUCUUUCACCGGAUACGAUAAUGACGGUACCCGGAGAAGAAGCCCCGGCUAACUUCGUG